UAUUUAAUGGUACGCGCCGGGGCCAAGGCCGCACCGUGCUGGGCGGGGGUCUGGAGAGCGCAGCAGCCAUGGCCAGCCAUCUCGUGCUCAACAAUGGCGCCAAGAUGCCCAUCCUGGGGCUGGGUACCUGGAAGUCCCCUCCAGGGCAGGUUACUGAGGCCGUGAAGGUGGCCAUUGACGUCGGGUACCGCCACAUCGACUGUGCCCAUGUGUACCAGAAUGAGAAUGAGGUGGGGGUGGCCAUUCAGGAGAAGCUCAGGGAGCAGGUGGUGAAGCGUGAGGAGCUCUUCAUCGUCAGCAAGCUGUGGUGCACGUACCAUGAGAAGGGCCUGGUGAAAGGAGCCUGCCAGAAGACACUCAGCGACCUGAAGCUGGACUACCUGGACCUCUACCUUAUUCACUGGCCGACUGGCUUUAAGCCUGGGAAGGAAUUUUUCCCACUGGAUGAGUCAGGCAGUGUGGUUCCCAGUGACACCAACAUUCUGGACACGUGGGCGGUAAGACAGCCCCUGGUUUGACCUUGUUUUCAUGACUGGUUCCCUCUUCUUUUUAGGAGCAAUCUGCCUGCCAUUUCUCACAUUGCAUUGUGUUAUUCUGUCCCUGUUGUUUGCUCUUCUUUCCUUUUUUUUUUUUUUUUUUUUUUGAGAUGGGG
rnacentral:sRNA from 1 species